AUACGGAGGGUGCAAGCGUUAAUCGGAAUUACUGGGCGUAAAGCGUGCGUAGGUGGUUUGUUAAGUUAGAUGUGAAAGCCCCAGGCUCAACCUGGGAACUGCGUUUGAAACUGGCAUACUAGAGUAUAGGAGAGGAAAGUGGAAUUUCAGGUGUAGCGGUGAAAUGCGUAGAUAUCUGAAGGAACAUCAAUGGCGAAGGCAGCUUUCUGGACUAAUACUGACACUGAGGUACGAAAGCGUGGGUAGCAAACAGGAUUAGAAACCCUAGUAGUCC
rnacentral:rRNA from 1 species